UACGGAGGAUGCAAGCGUUAUCCGGAAUGAUUGGGCGUAAAGCGUCCGCAGGUGGUUAUGUAAGUCUGCUGUUAAAGAGUGAGGCUCAACCUCAUAAGAGCAGUGGAAACUACAUAGCUAGAGUGCGUUCGGGGCAGAGGGAAUUCCUGGUGUAGCGGUGAAAUGCGUAGAUAUCAGGAAGAACACCGGUGGCGAAAGCGCUCUGCUAGGCCGCAACUGACACUGAGGGACGAAAGCUAGGGGAGCGAAUGGG
rnacentral:rRNA from 1 species